UGUACAAACAAUAGUACAGUCGCUCUGGAUAAGAGCGUCUGCUAAAUGACGUAAA
rfam:Salmo salar isolate Sally breed double haploid chromosome ssa11, whole genome shotgun sequence.